CCAGUAAACGGCGGCCGUAACUAUAACGGUCCUAAGGUAGCGAAAUUCCUUGUCGGGUAAGUUCCGACCUGCACGAAUGGCGUAAUGAUGGCCAGGCUGUCUCCACCCGAGACUCAGUGAAAUUGAACUCGCUGUGAAGAUGCAGUGUACCCGCGGCAAGACGGAAAGACCCCGUGAACCUUUACUAUAGCUUGACACUGAACAUUGAGCCUUGAUGUGUAGGAUAGGUGGGAGGCUUUGAAGUGUGGACGCCAGUCUGCAUGGAGCCAACCUUGAAAUACCACCCUUUAACGUUUGAUGUUCUAACCUAGGCCCAUAAACUGGGUCGGGGACCGUGUCUGGUGGGUAGUUUGACUGGGGCGGUCUCCUCCUAAAGAGUAACGGAGGAGCACGAAGGUUGGCUAAGCAUGGUCGGACAUCAUGCGGUUAGUGCAAAGGCAUAAGCCAGCUUGACUGCGAGAGUGACGGCUCGAGCAGGUACGAAAGUAGGUCUUAGUGAUCCGGUGGUUCUGAAUGGAAGGGCCAUCGCUCAACGGAUAAAAGGUACUCCGGGGAUAACAGGCUGAUACCGCCCAAGAGUUCAUAUCGACGGCGGUGUUUGGCACCUCGAUGUCGGCUCAUCACAUCCUGGGGCUGAAGUAGGUCCCAAGGGUAUGGCUGUUCGCCAUUUAAAGUGGUACGCGAGCUGGGUUUAGAACGUCGUGAGACAGUUCGGUCCCUAUCUGCCGUGGGCGUUGGAAGAUUGAGAGGGGUUGCUCCUAGUACGAGAGGACCGGAGUGAACGCACCACUGGUGUUCGGGUUGUCAUGCCAAUGGCAUUGCCCGGUAGCUAAGUGCGGAAGAGAUAACCGCUGAAAGCAUCUAAGCGGGAAACUUGCCUCGAGAUG
rnacentral:rRNA from 1 species